AUACCAGCACUAAAGCACCGGAUCCCAUCAGAACUCCGAAGUUAAGCGUGCUUGGGCGAGAGUAGUACUAGGAUGGGUGACCUCCUGGGAAGUCCUCGUGUUGCAUCCC
rnacentral:rRNA from 1 species